rnacentral:lncRNA from 1 species
GCAAAACCGUGCGCCCCGGCACGCACAGCCCCGCGGCCCCCGACCCCCCACGCCCCUAACCCUAACGGGGAUCCCAGUCCUAGGGACACCGGGCGCGUGCGCGACCCCAAUCAGUUAUUUAUGGGCGAAUUAAUUAUGUAGCUGCCAUGGGCGGGGGGGCCGGCAGGGGCCAUGCGACGCGGAGACCACCCGGCCGCGGUGGCGGCUCUCCUGCCGGGCCUCGGGGUCGGGAGGCGUCCCCACGCCGCCCGGGGAGGAUCCCGUUGUGAGAAAGCUGCCUCGGGGUGGGGUCCGGGAGGAGCGCGGGGGAACCUGAGGAAGCGGGAGAGACGGCUCGGAGACCUCCCAAUUAGACUGGGAGGGGAGAGGGGGGCGGGCGACGGAGCUGGAAAGAGCGGGCCGCGGAGACCGGGGCGUGGGAAGAGCCUGGCCUAGGCAUUUCUUCCCUUCCUUCCUUCCUUCAUCCCCAUCCUUACUGCGAGCCCACUACGUGCCACUGCGCCCACAGCAGAGGGCGGUAUUAGGGAGGGGUUAGGAGCAGGAAGGAAUUUCGAGGUACAGCUGGGUCCAAAUCCGGAUUUGUAUCCUAUACUCCCCUGCUGUGUGGCCUUAGGCAACGGCUUGCCCUCUCGGAGCCUCCACUUCCUCAUCUGCCAGUGGUCUUCAGGACUUGGGAGAUGGGGCGCUUGGGCAGAGAGUUUGUGGGGGCGCGGUCGAAGGGAGGUCCUGUCCUUGGGAAACUUUACAUAGAGGGGAACAUGCCCAGUCCCCCAGUAUUCCCCAUCUCGAAGCCCCGACUUUGGGUCUCAUAUAAUCUGCCUCUCCCCGGGGCCCACACAUUUGAAGGUCGUUAUUAAAACCACACCACCCCCAAGGCCACUGCUCAGGACGCUCACCCCUAGCUGGCUUCUCACCAGCCUGGCCCUGCAGAAGGUCGUGCAUAUGGCAGCCAGAGGGGCUCAAUCUAGUCCUUUUACUCCCCACCUCCGCUGCCUCCCCCGACUCUGCCCUUCACAUCCCCACCUGGGUUCUCCUUCCAACCUGCUUCUAGUCUGGGCUAGGGAGAUUGGAGCCCUGAGGCCAUGGGGGCUACGGGGCAGUGAGAACAGGGGUGGGGGCUCAGCUGGCCCUCCCUGGACAAGUGUCCCCCUUAUCUGGAGUGUCAAGGCGUUCUACUUCCAAGACUCAGAAGUGAAGGAGGCUUCCGUUUGCGACCCAGGAUUGCCUAGGGGUUUGCCUGUCUUCUUUCACCAAAACUUGCAAUAACUCUGUUAGGUGAAUGGGGCAGAUCCAGGUUUUAUGGGGCCUGAAGGUUUUACAAUCCUGGGGACCCACUUGAAGAAGAAUAGUGCAAAGUUAUGAAUAGGCGGUUAAGCUCAGGGCCUUGGUAAAUGACAGUCCCAGGAGCUAAAGCUUCAUUAGCCCCUCGGUAACUCACCUCUGUAGAUGGACAACACAACUGUCAUCCCUUUGCAGAGGUGGAAACAAAGCUUAGGCUGGCCCAAGGUCACAACAGGUAGAAAGGACAAGCUGGGAUCAAACCCAGGUCCCACCCCACAGGCAGCACCCUGAACUAACUGCCUCAGUAGGAAUGCCACCUUCCAUAUCAUCUACCCCAUGCCACAUCUCACCUGUCCCCACCAGUGCCCAGCCCAGGCAGGGUCAGUCAGAACAGCCUUUGCUUCCAGAACAGUCUGUGUCCCUCCCUCCAGAGGCCUCCAUGUCCCAAGGCUCAAGCCUCAGAGAUACUGUCUUGUGACAACACUCACAGAUCUAGUAAGUAGGUCUCUUCUAAACUUUUGAUUCCAGCAAUGGUAACCUGCUCACUCCAGAACUCCAGCUCCCCCGUCCACCUGGAGGGAGCGCACCCCUGUUCCCCGGUGGGCUCCCUGGUGUUCGGGGCUGGAUCUGUUUUAUUUGGCUCAGUAUUCCCC